GGACCGUGAAACGCCUUUGCGCCGAUGAUAGUUGAUUAACGUCUGUGAAAGUAGGUCAUCGUCAGGC
rnacentral:rRNA from 1 species